UACGUAGGGGGCAAGCGUUAUCCGGAUUUACUGGGUGUAAAGGGAGCGCAGACGGCAGUGCAAGUCUGGAGUGAAAGCCCGGGGCCCAACCCCGGAACUGCUCUGGAAACUGUGCGGCUAGAGUACUGGAGGGGCAGGCGGAAUUCCUAGUGUAGCGGUGAAAUGCGUAGAUAUUAGGAGGAACACCAGUGGCGAAGGCGGCCUGCUGGACAGUAACUGACGUUGAGGCUCGAAAGCGUGGGGAGCAAAGAGG
rnacentral:rRNA from 1 species